GGAGGGGUGACCGAGUGGUUCAAGGUAACGCAUUGCUAAUGCGUCGUAUAAAAUAUUAUACCGAGGGUUCGAAUCCCUUCCCUUCCA
rnacentral:tRNA from 1 species